GAAGUGGGGGCCAGCUCACCACGCAUGAGCCUCAGUCUCCCGCGUCACAGAGGCAGACCAGUCUCUGGACCCAGGAGACGACAGAGCGACCCUGACCCUGUGAUGAAUCUGCUCCUGAAAGCUCAGAGCCAUCCUGGGACCCAUGUGAGCAUCCCCGUUUGCUCAGGGAGGCGAGGGGACAGGGUGUCUCUACGUGGGCUCCCACGUCCAGCCUGCUGCCUUUGGCCAGGUCACAGCCAUCCUGGCAGGGUGGCUCCAGGGACACUCACCGCCUGCCCUCAGGGCUGCUGCCCCACAACUGGACCACCCCCCAGCAGCAGCGUGACCACCUCACAGCGUCCCGCACUGGCAGUGUGCAGGAGGGGAGGGAAGCAAGACCACAAGCUUGUCUGCAGAAGAUUCUACCCACGAUGGGAUAAAGCGGAAUUACACAUAACAGGAUUUGAUGAAAAUUCUUGUCUCUGGGGGCCCAAACUGGCAAUAGUGCCUUAUGAGGCCACAUCCACCCCUGCCACCGGUCAGAGUGCUUCUUGGUUGGUGCAUCUUGUCCUGAUCAAACUCGCUGCUUCCUGCAAAGUGGGGCGUGGGGCUGCCACAAAAGCAGAGAAAUGCCCGGAGAAGCAAGGGUUCCCAAGACAAACUCCUGUGCAUCCCUGGUGGGGAGUCAGUGCUGCGUGUCUGGAGGGGCAGUGAUCGCUAUAGAUGCUGGAAUUUAGCUCCUAGGAAUGCUGGGUUUCAGGGGAAUUCUGCAUACUCUUCAUUAUGAAUCAUAACAAAUUUAGAAAAAGUGCCACAGAGGGGUAUUGGUCAAUUAGCAAAUAAAAAGAAUCUGUGACUUUUCUAGGUUUCGUGAUUUUUGUGGUAUUCAUCCACUUCUUAAAGUUUGUCAUUUGGAGUGACUCUUUCAUUUUAUUUUUUAAUUUAAUUUUUUGUUUUUUCAAUUAAAAAAAAUAUAGUUGAUUUAUAAUGUCUCAGGUGUAUAGCAAAGUGAUUCAGUUAUACAUACACAUACACCACUUCUUUUGGAUUCUUUUCCAUUAUAGGUUAUUACAAGAUAUUGAAUAUAUUUCCCUGUGCUACACAGUAGGGCCUGGUUUAUCUAUUUUAUAUAUAGUAGUGUUUGUCUGUUAAUCCCAAGCUCCUAAUUACUCCCUCCCCCAGACUCUGUUAUUUUAAAUAAAUGCUCCCUUUUAUGCC
ensembl:lncRNA